UCUCAUGGAUGAGCAGAGAAAGUGGUUUCUUGACAUGGAAACUGCUCCUGGUGAAGAGGCUGUGAA
rnacentral:pre_miRNA from 1 species